GACGAACGCUGGCGGCGUGCUUAACACAUGCAAGUCGAACGGAAAGGCCCCUUUGGGGGUACUCGAGUGGUGAACGGGUGAGUAACACGUGAGUAACCUGCCCUUGACUUCGGGAUAACUUCAGGAAACUGGGGCUAAUACCGGAUAGGAAUCCUUGCUUCAUGGUGGGGGUUGGAAAGCUUCGGCGGUUUUGGAUGGACUCGCGGCUUAUCAGCUUGUUGGUGGGGUAGUGGCUUACCAAGGCUUUGUCGGGUAGCCGGCCUGAGAGGGCGACCGGCCACAUUGGGACUGAGAGACGGCCCAGACUCCUACGGGAGGCAGCAGGGGGGAAGAUUGCACAAGGGGCGGAAGCCGGAUGCAGCAACGCCGCGGGCGGGAUGACGGCCUUCGGGUUGUAAACCGCUUUCAGCAGGGGCGAAGCUUGUGGUGACGGUACCUGCAGAAGAAGCACCGGCUAACUACGUG
rnacentral:rRNA from 1 species